rnacentral:rRNA from 1 species
CUACGUGCCAGCAGCGCGUAUACGUAGUGCAGCGUAUCGAUAUGGCGUAAAGCGCGCGCAGUGUUUCUAAGUCUGAUGUGAAAGCCCACGGCUCAACCGUGGAAGGGUCAUUGGAACUGGGAAGACUUGAGUGCAAGAAGAAGAAAAGGUGAAUUUCCAUGUGGUAGCGGUGAAAAUGCGUAGAAGAUUAUGAAGAACCACCAGUUGGCGGAGGCGGACUUUUCUGUUUGUAACUGACCAUGAGGCGGGGAAGCGUGGGAACCAACCAGGAUAGAUACCUGGUAGUUCCCCCCGUUAACGAAGAAGUGCUAAGGGUUGGAGGUUUUCCCCCUUUAGUUGCGAAAGUUACGCCUUUAACCAUCCCCCCGGGGAAGUCGGGCGCCAGGCCGAAACUUCAAGGAAAUUGCGGGGGCCCCGCCCAACCGUUGAACCAGGGGGUUUAUUUGAAACCACGGGGAGGACCUUUCCCGGUUCUGGCAUCCUUCGACCACCCUAGGGGUUAGGGUUUUUCCUUGGGAACCGGAUGGCCAGGGGGGCCAGGUUGGUGUCCAGUUGGGUUGGGAGAAGGUGGGGUUAAUUCCGCCACGGACCCCAACCCUGGUUUUUAGUUCCCUCCAUUAAGUGGGCCAUUUUAGGGGGCCUCCCGUGGCCAACCCGAAGAAGGUGGGGAAGGCGGCCAAUCCUCCUUCCCCCUAAGGCCUGGGGUUCCCCACGUGUUCCAAGGGCGGGACCAAGAAGCGCCAGGCCCGGAAGGGGAAGUUAUUUCAUUAAACCGGUUUCAAUUUGGAAUGUUGGCUGCAAAUUCCCUUCCAGGAAGCGGGAUUCGUUAUUAAUCCGGGUCCACCAUGCCCCGGGGAUUCCUUCCCCGGCCUUGGUCCCCCCCGCCCUCCCCCCCCGGAAAGUUGGUACCCCCGGAAUUCGGGGGGGGUACCCUUUGGAGCCAGCCGCCUAAGUGACCAG